CGAGAGAGAGAGAGAGAGAGAGAGAGAGAGAGAGAGAGAGAGAGAGAGAGAGAGAGAGAGAGAGAGAGAGAGAGAGAGAGAGAGAGAGAGAAGCUCUUCGCCAUGCAGGACACAAGAGUACAGGCAGGGGCGACAUGCGGACGGUCACCGGGGGCAGGGCAACGCCAGAUACGCGGCCCCUGGGGAAGGUGGGGAGACAUUUCCUGGGAGCCGCCCUACACCCGUGCCUCGCCUUGCCCCAGGUCCACCACUCCUUCCCCUCACCCCUCGUCACCACACCAGGCAAGCCAGUAAGCCAGGAAGCCUACACGUAGCUGUCCCUGUAUUGAACGCGCUUACUUGUAUCAUACCCCCUUUUAAUUCCUUCCCGUAAGUUGUGUUUAUUCCAUAAAGCUCCUUAUUGACUCUGCACUUACGAUACUCUGAUAAAUUUAUUACACUCAUCUGGCACACUAUUUGAGACUUGAUUUCUUUCUUUAUCCUUUGUACUAUCUGUCUUUCUUCUUAUUCUGAAUUAUUCACUAAAUACAUCACUUUCUUCCUCCUCCUACAUCACCUGCACUCUUGUUACCUGCUACAGUUCUAUCACAAUAUAAUCCUCUUUCUCUUACUCUGUCUCACUCCACCAUCGCCAUGAGCACACCACAUCUCUCACUAUGUAUGAUUCUCUUCCCCUCUCUCCCUCGCCCUUUCUCCAGUACUAUUCAAAACGAGUUAAAUAUAUUCCUGACAUGUAUGUAUAUCCACCCUCUGUGAACCCCAAUAUCUUAAUUGCUGUAGAUAGAAAUAAAUCGACAGAAUACAUACUGGACAGAAAUGCUCCUGUACUUUGACACUGCGAUGCUGGAGUGAAUGGAGUCUUGGCGUAUAUAAAACAACCAACUAAUAGAAAAAAAUAUAUAUGUCACAUGAAUUUUUACUUUUUUUCACCUUUAUCCUUUUUACUAUUCCUGCCUUGCCACCAUCACCACUUCCCCAUCCCCUUUUCUUCCCUCCCUUCUUCACUUCCAUUCCCCAUCACCACCACCAUCACCACUCACCAACGGAAGCGUGUGAUGAGUGUGCUAUUGUUACAUGUAGCUUUGAAUGUCCACUACCACCACCAACACCACAUCACCGCCAAAACUACUGUCACAGGUAUACAUAAAUGAUUUAGUUUACUCGCUCACUGUACAAUGCGUUUUCAAUAGAAUAUGUAUAAAC